rnacentral:rRNA from 1 species
CCUACGGGUGGCAGCAGUGGGGAAUAUUGCGCAAUGGGCGAAAGCCUGACGCAGCGACGCCGCGUGAGGGAUGAAGGUCUUCGGAUCGUAAACCUCUGUCAGCAGGGAAGAACGGUCACUGUGCUAAUCAGCAGUGAAUUGACGGUACCUGCAAAGGAAGCACCGGCUAACUCCGUGCCAGCAGCCGCGGUAAUACGGAGGGUGCGAGCGUUAAUCGGAAUUACUGGGCGUAAAGCGCUCGUAGGCGGUAUGUCAAGUCAAGGGGUAAAUCCGCGCGCUCAACGUGGGAACUGCCUUUGAAACUGGCGAACUUGAGUGUGUGAGAGGAUUGGGGAAUUCCAGGUGGAGGAGGGAAAUCCGUAGAAA